rnacentral:rRNA from 1 species
AUCAACGCUGGCGGCGUGCCUAACACAUGCAAGUCGAACGAGAAAGUGGAGCAAUCCAUGAGUAAAGUGGCGACCGGGUGAGUAACACGUGACUACCUACCCUUGAGUGGGGGAUAACCUCGGGAAACCGAGGCUAAUACCGCAUAAUAUCGAAAGAUCAAAGGAGUAAUCCGCUUUUGGAGGGGGUCGCGGCUGAUUAGCUAGUUGGUAGGGUAAUGGCCUACCAAGGCGAAGAUCGGUAUCCGGCCUGAGAGGGCGCACGGACACACUGGAACUGAAACACGGUCCAGACUCCUACGGGAGGCAGCAGUGGGGAAUUUUGCGCAAUGGGGGAAACCCUGACGCAGCAACGCCGCGUGGAGGAUGAAGUCCCUUGGGGUGUAAACUCCUUUCGACCGGGAAAAUAAUGAUGGUACCGGUGGAAGAAGCACCGGCUAACUCUGUGC